AACAAACGCUGGCGGCGUGUCUUAAGCAUGCAAGUUGAGCGGCAAGGAGGAGAGAUCCUCCCUAGAGCGGCGGACUGGUGAGUAACGCGUGGGUAAUCUAUCGUAGGCAUGGGGAUAGUCACUAGAAAUAGUGGGUAAUACCGAAUACGUUCCAUGAGGGGAGUAUUCAUGGAAGAAAGGGUGCUACGGCACUGGCCUUAGGUGAGCUCGCGUCCCAUUAGCUAGUUGGUGAGGUAAAGGCCCACCAAGGCGAUGAUGGGUAGCCGGCCUGAGAGGGGUGUACGGCCACACUGGGACUGAGAUACGGCCCAGACUCCUACGGGAGGCAGCAGCUAAGAAUAUUCCGCAAUGGACGAAAGUCUGACGGAGCGACGCCGCGUGGAUGAAGAAGGCCGAAAGGUUGUAAAGUUCUUUGCUAGGGGAGAAUAAGUGGAGGGAGGGAAGUGCCUCAUGAAUGACAAGGACUAGCGAAUAACGCCCCGGCCAACUACGUGCCAGCAGCC
rnacentral:rRNA from 1 species